UGGGGAAUUUUGCACAAUGGGGGAAACCCUGAUGCAGCGACGCCGCGUGAUUUAGAAGGCCUUCGGGUUGUAAAAAUCUUUUGUAUGGGAAGAAAAUGACAGUACCAUACGAAUAAGGACCGGCUAAUUACGUGCCAGCAGCCGCGGUAAUACGUAAGGUCCGAGCGUUGUCCGGAAUCAUUGGGCGUAAAGGGUACGUAGGCGGAUAAGCAAGUUAGAAGUGAAAUCCUAUAGCUCAACUAUAGUAAGCUUUUAAAACUGCUCAUCUUGAGGUAUGGAAGGGAAAGUGGAAUUCCUAGUGUAGCGGUGAAAUGCGCAGAUAUUAGGAGGAAUACCGGUGGCGAAGGCGACUUUCUGGCCAUAUACUGACGCUGAGGUACGAAAGCGUGGGUAGCAAACAGU
rnacentral:rRNA from 1 species